rnacentral:lncRNA from 1 species
AUGCCAGGGUCAGAGCAGCACGUGUGGGGGAGGCGGCGGGCGGCGUGUGUGUAUGUGUGUGUGUGCGGACGCGCGCACGCGUGUGGGGUAUAUGCGCAGGGACGCACCUUCCCGCAGCCGGGCACCUCCACGCCAUCCACAGGCCGCGGGAUCUCGAUGGACUUGACGAGCCCAUACUUGCCGCACUCAUCUCGCACAUCCUCCACGAUCUCCUCAUACUCCUCGUCGUCCAGCAGCUCCUCAGGCAGCACCAUGUUCAUCAGGCACAGCACCUCUGUCGGGUGCCCGCCCAUCUGCACCUGCGAGCUCAUCAGGCCGGGCACUUGCAAGGUCACAGGGGUCUGGUUGAUGGUGCUCAGCACACUCCCGGGGGCACUGCCCACUCCUUCUGGGCACUGGGCACCCAAGCCUCCCUGCACCCCCUCCCCUAGGCUGCAAUUACGGGUCCUUCAGGCUAAUCGCCGAGGUUGACUCACUCCUGGCUCCGCUUCCCUAAUGAGGCCUUUGUCCCCUUAAUUGGCCAUCUCCAGGCGCUUUUCUCUGACCCCCCCACCUUCGAUGCCUGUCCCAGAUCCCAGGCCCAACUAUGUGCUAAUUGGGCCUUUGGGGGGGACACACAGAACGACCCCUCCCCUCCCUGUCCCCUGGCCGGCCUAUAUCAGACCCCCACCUAUGGGCUCCUCACACCUCAGGGCUGGGGUGAGGGCACAGGACGGUUCCGAUUCCCCGGGCCCUGCUCCGCCAACCGAGGUCCCCCCUCCCUGUAGGUCCCCCAUCCCCGUCUCUCUUCCCGCGCCUGUCCCCCGCCCUGGGCCCCCCCCCCCCCCCCCCACCCCCCCCCCGCCGCCCCCGGAGCCAAGCCCUGCAGGAGGCGC